UGGUGUUCAAUAUGUUCAAGUGAAAGGCAAAGCAAGACUUAAACAAAUCAAAAUUUAGCUGUUUUGAAGCAAUUGUAAGAAGCUGUCACCUGUAGUUGAAGUAGCUUUACUCAGCAAAAAAUGGGAAAAGUUGUCCUGAAAGCUUUUUUUACUUUUCCACCCAAUAUGAUUCUUUAGUCACUGCCAAAAGAGUUAUUCUAAUUGUUUGUUUCAAAACUUCAAGUCCAAGUCUCUCCUUACUCAGAGUGCAGUGAACCGGAGGGUGCUCUAGUGUUGGUAUCUCCUCUGACAAAAACACCAGUGUGAGCUUGAAAUCCUCUGAGACAUCACCUGAAGUCCCACAUCUUGCAAAGACAUAUUUGGUCUUAUGGAUUCUACUUAGUAUUCAUGCAGCAACAGCAACCAGCUGAAUAACAUCAAGCAAGUAAAAUCACCUGAGGAGUUUUGCUGCAAGUAGCCUCUGCAGGGGCCAUCCUGCUUGUAUAGGGCUGUUUCACUCGGACGCAAAUCAACAGCACGGUUGUUUUGAUAAGGGGAUGCAGCACAUUGUUGUCCCCAGAUGGGGCUUGUACUCCACGAUAGCACAGAAUGAGGAGAGACAAUGUGAGACUCCUUCAUAUCAGUUGCAAGUGUCCAUGAAAACUGUUUUCUAUGGAAUAAUUGAUAAGAUGGGGAAAAGGAGAAUAAAGCACAGAAGCGCUCUGGAGGAGAGACAGGUGGAAAAGAGAGAGACUGAAUUCUGACUGCUCUUAGUUAAACCUUAUCAAUGCUUUGAUCAGCCAAAAGAAAGAUUUUACUCAGUGAUUGAGUUGGGGUUUUGCUGUGUUUUGCAGGUCCAAAGAAGCAAUGAGAAGGAAAGCAAAAGAUGCUUCAGUUUCAUAUUUUACUCCUGGUGCAGUUAACAUUUGAACAGCUAAAGUUUAUGGGGGUGAUCCAAGUCACACAUAGUUUUCUGCCUACCUGAAGGAAUCAAUCAUACUGCUACUGAUGAUAAAAAAAAAAGAGGUGGAAGGUGGAGGAACACCAGUCUCUUUCAUUAUUGCCUGUUUGGUUUCUUUCAUUGCCCCAGAUGACACAGGAGGACAAAAUGAGAGGAGAUAAAAUGCAGGAGCUUUAUACUGGUCAAGGAAGACACUUUCUGACAACAACACAGUAAAAUUGUGCGUGCA